UACGGGGGGGGCAAGCGUUGUUCGGAAUUACUGGGCGUAAAGGGCUCGUAGGCGGCCAACUAAGUCAGACGUGAAAUCCCUCGGCUUAACCGGGGAACUGCGUCUGAUACUGGAUGGCUAGAGGUUGGGAGAGGGAUGCGGAAUUCCAGGUGUAGCGGUGAAAUGCGUAGAUAUCUGGAGGAACACCGGUGGCGAAGGCGGCAUCCUGGACCAAUUCUGACGCUGAGGAGCGAAAGCCAGGGGAGCAA
rnacentral:rRNA from 1 species